rnacentral:lncRNA from 1 species
AAUAUUUCGGCAUGGUAAUUUGGUUCCUUUCGAGUAGUUGUGCUUUCCCUAAUCCUUUUCUUAAUAGAUGUUAGUUAAUCCUUAUGGUUAAGUUGGAGCAUAUCGUGUAUCAGGCAGAAGUAAAGUUAGCUUACACUUAAGUGCACACAAUUCUCUAGUUUAUUCACUUGCCUUGCACCAAGGACUUAUUUCAUCAAGGAGACACCCGACACAUAUGUUGUAG